GGGCUGUAGCUCAGUGGAAGAGCAUCUGCUUUGCAUGCAGAAUGUCCCAGUUUCAGUCUAUGGCAUGUUCA